CAAUAGCGUAUAUUAAAGUUGUUGCAGUUAAAAAGCUCGUAGUUGGAUUUCGGGGCAGCCUGGCUGGUCCGCCGCAAGGCGAGUACUGGUCAGCCGCCCUUCCUCUCGAAAGCCCCGACUGCUCUUCGUUGCAGUGGUCGGGUAGUUCGGGACGUUUACUUUGAAAAAAUUAGAGUGUUCAAGGCAGGCCUACGCCUGAAUACAUUAGCAUGGAAUAAUGGAAGAGGACCUCGGUCCUAUUUUGUUGGUUUCCAGGGCCGAAGUAAUGAUUAAGAGGGACAGUUGGGGGCAUUCGUAUUUAAUUGUCAGAGGUGAAAUUCUCGGAUUUAUGAAAGACGAACAACUGCGAAAGCAUUUGCCGAGGAUGUUUUCAUUAA
rnacentral:rRNA from 1 species